UAACCACUGUGCCACGACGGGAACUCCUCAUUUAAAAUUUUAAUGUUAGUGGGAUCAUGUUAGAUGAGGUGGGCCACAGCUUACCUUCUUGUUUAGCGCUGUAGAGUGGCCGUUUCCCUCUGUCCGUGGUUGACCUUGACUAGCUGAGGGGAGCUGGGCGUCUCAGGCUCCACAGGAAUCUUCCAUGAGGGAAGACAGGCCUUGCAUUGUCGGAGCAGUUCUCGCGAUCCCCGAGCAGCUGCAUUGCAGCUGUCCCCAGUUUCCGUCUUGGCUUCCAGUCUGUCCCCCACGUCCCUCUUGCUAGGCCCCACAUACUGCAUCCUUCAUGUGCUCAGAGCCUCCCUGGACACCCACCUUCUGCUAGUUCCUGCCAGCACCUCUGCUUGGCUGCUGGUGAGGUCCUCUUGGUCACCGAGACCCUGGAUGUGCCCAUGCCCUGUCCCCAGGAGCAGUCCUCCUGCCUUGGCCCAGUCGGCCUGAGUUCCUGAAAGCUUCCCUGCAGGAAGCUCUCCAUCACUGUUCCCCUAACCAGAUUCCCAGUGUGAGGCAUCCUUGUGAGGGCACAGGUGAGGAGGGUGUGGCUGGAGGUGUCCCCAGCCAGGUCGCCACCUGGCCAGGUUUGUGGACAGUUUCUCCUAUGGCGAGUGGUCUUGCAUGGCGUGAGUGGGUGGAGGGGUGUGCGUGGCCCAUGGCCCUGAUCGAGUUUGUAUGUGUCUCAGGAAGAGGGUGCGUGUGGCCCCAGUGAGGGCAGGGGAGGCCAGCUUCCCUAGGUCUUGCCAUGGCAGCGGGCCCAGCACCCAUCGACCAGGAGAAGCUCGUGAUCACCAAGAUGGGGGAGGAUGAGGCCGCCCGCUGUGACCCCAAACUGUUCUCCAAUCCUCGGCCCCGAACCCUGUCGCCUGGGCUUGGUAGGGACCCCUGGCAGCGCCUCCGCAGCUUCCGCUUUGAGGAAGCAGAUAGGAGUCGGCCGGGAGAGCUGGUCGACCCCGUGUCAGCUCAGACCCGGGACCGAGACGGCUGGGAUAGCUGGUCGACCCAGAGGUGUGAGCCUGAGGUUGGUGUGGCUUUUCCCCUCAGGGUGCACUGGACCGUCUUUCCCUUCCUCCUUCAUCUCAGGUUCUCUGAGCCCGUGCGUGUGCUGGGCCCUGGCGGGAGGGCAAGGGGAGAGGCAAGUCCUCGGCCUCUUGGAGUCCGGUCUGGUUGGAGAGUUGAGCAGAGAGACGGCCGCUCACACGAAGGGGGCCCCCCUUGCUCUGGAGCAGGUGGAGGCAGGAGGAGGGGGCACAGGUCAGCCUGGCCGGGGUGGCUUUGCGGUUCCUGCUGUGUGACAUUUUCACCCUGGGCUGCGAGGGGCAGGAGGGACGGUGGUUCCAGCCAUCCGUUCACGUGGGUGUGUGUUUACACCUUUCCUCACACACGGGUUUAUGCCGUUCCUUCUGCCUGCUUGGCCGCUUGUAUCAAGACAUAGAAACCUUAGCACUUAAACAAAAGACGGCUUUAUCAAGCUAUAACCUACAUAUCAAGACAUUGUCAAUUGGUGGCUUUUAGUCCAUCUGCAAAGUUGUACAGCCGUCACGCGUGUCUAAGACGGUCCUGUGCCCGAUAAGCCCCAUGCCCGUUAGCAGUCACUCCCCGUUCUUCCCUCCCCAGUCCCUUGGCAGCGCAGCCACUGAUCCCACGUUCUCAUUCUGAGCAUUUGAUUACACGGAGUCAUACAUAUGUGGCUUCUUACACCCGGCUUCCUUCGCUGAGUGUGACGUCUUCAGCGGCCAUCCGCGCUGUACGAUGUCGGGAUCUCACUCGUUUUGAUGGUUAAAUACUAAUCCGUCCCGUGGGUCCCCCAACUUUCUGUUUAUUUCCUUACCAGGUAAUGGAUAUUUGGGUUGUUGGGUCCUCCUGGCUGUGGGUAGUGCUGGUGUGAAUUCCGUGACUCUAUCUGUGCAGGCAAAUGCUUUCAUGUCUCUUUGGUUACAUGCUGAGGAGUGGAGUUGCUGGAUCCCAUGGCCCCUCCUGAGGACCAGCCACCUGGAGACCUGGCAGAGCUGGCCAUGCCCUCCCCAGAUGGAGUCAGCAGGUCGGGGCUGGGGCGGCCCUGAAAUCAGAACACACAGGGCAGGAACAGAAACAUUCUUUUGCGGCGUCUGGAGAGAGUGAUGUGGGCCCAAAGCCAUCCCUGAAGAGGCCGCGGAGUGCCCGCCAGCACCCAGGUGCCAAGCAGGACGUAAGGCCAUCAACCUGCAGGUGAAGCUGGAGGUGCUACGGUGCUUUGAAGCUGGAGAGAUGCUCAGCAGAAUCGGGAAGGCGCUGGGACUCUCCACCUCCACCGUGGCCACCAUUUGUGACAAGGACAAGAUCCGAGCGAGUUUCCAGGAGGCCACCCCGCAGGCGGCCACCAAGCUGACGCACAGCCGCUGCCUGGCAAUGGAGAACACGGAGCGGCUGCUGAGCGUGUGGGUCGAGGACCAGAACCAGCGCAACACGCGGGGCAACGUGGUGCUUGUCCAGGAGAAGACCGCAGCCUGUUCGAGGAGCUCAGGCAGCAGCAGGGCGAGGGCGCCGAGUCGGAGACCUUCUGGCCAGCCAGGGCCGGUUCGCAGGCUUCAAGGUGCGCUUCAGGCUGCGCACCCUGGGGCUGGCCGACCAGGCGGUGCGCGCAGCCCCUGGGGCGCGCGCAGGUACUGCGGGCCGCGCAGGGUGAUCCAGGAGGAGGACCUCACGGCCCGCCAGGUGUUCAGCGUGGAGGAGACCCGGCUCUUCUGGAGGCGGCUGCUGGACGGGACGGUGCCUUCCGCCCGGAGGAGCGCCCUGGGUUCACAGCCCCCGGAGAUCUACUGACUCUGCUGCUGGGCGGCAACGUGGCCGGUAGCUUGAAGCUGAAGCUGCAGCUGCUGCUGGUGUACCCGGUGGAGAACCCGCGCGCCCUCAGGGGCUUCUCCAAGCCCAGCCUGCCCCUGCUUGGCCCGCCCACAAGAAGGCCUGGGUCACGGCGAGCCUCUUCCCGAGUGGUUCGUGCACUUCUUCCGCCCCGCGGUGGAGAGGUACUAUGCCCUGCACGGGCUCCCGCGUAAAGCGCAGCUUGUCCCCGACAGCGCUCCUGGCCGCCCUGGAAACCUGGACGACCUCUCCGACCACGUGGGUGUGGAGUCCCUGCCCAAGGAUACCACAGCCCUCAUCCAGCCCAUGACCCAGGACGUGGUCGCCACCUUCAAGGCCUGCCACCUGCGGAGGGUCUUCCGCCUCUUGGCCGCGAGGGCCGGGGGCACAGGCGAGCCGGGAGCGGCCCUGGACGUCUGGCGGGACUACAGCAUCCUCGACACCGCCCUGUACCUCUCCGCGUCCUGGGAGGAGUCCCGCCCUCGUCGCUGAACAGUGGUUAGAGGAGGCUGUGGCCCCAGCGCCUCCAGCACAGAGUCAGCGGCCCCCAGGUGGAAACCCUCCCACAGAUCCGGUGGGACAUCCAGGCGCUGGCGCACCAGGUGGGUUUCAGGGAGGUGGCGGAGGCAGAGGUGGCCGAGCUGCUGCAGAGCGGUGGCUCGGACUGGUCCAAGAGGAGCUGGAGGAGCCAGAGCCGACUGCUGAGGAGGAGGGCGAGGCCAGCCCCGACGCCGCCAGUUCACAGCUGAGCACUUGGCCAGGGCCCUGGCACAUUUCGAUGCCUGCCUGCACAUCAGCAGGGACGAUGCCUCCAAGCUGGAGUGCAGCUUCCAGAUCUGCCGGGGUGUGAACAACUUGAUGGGCUGCUGUGGGCGCCUUUCAAGGAGAAGCAAGGCCCCAAGUAGUGGGGUGGGAGGGGU